rnacentral:rRNA from 1 species
CCUACGGGUGACUGCAGUGAGGAAUAUUGGUCAAUGGACGAGAGUCUGAACCAGCCAAGUAGCGUGAAGGAUGACUGCCCUAUGGGUUGUAAACUUCUUUUAUAUGGGAAUAAAAUGUUCCACGUGUGGGAUUUUGUAUGUACCAUAUGAAUAAGGAUCGGCUAACUCCGUGCCAGCAGCCGCGGUAAUACGGAGGAUCCGAGCGUUAUCCGGAUUUAUUGGGUUUAAAGGGUGCGCAGGCGGAAUGUCAAGUCAGCGGUAAAAUUUCGGGGCUCAACCCCGUCGUGCCGUUGAAACUGGCGGUCUUGAGUGAGCGAGAAGUAUGUGGAAUGCGUGGUGUAGCGGUGAAAUGCAUAGAUAUCACGCAGAACUCCGAUUGCGAAGGCAGCAUACCGGCGCUCAACUGACGCUCAUGCACGAAAGCGUGGGUAUCGAACAGGAUUAGAUAACCCUGUAGUC